rnacentral:misc_RNA from 1 species
UCCAAUGGACCGGAGGUCGUGAGGUGCGUAGAUGCGCUGAAACAGCUCAAGAGUUUUCCGAUAACGUACGAUGUUUUGGUAUCCACUCAGGUAAUUAAGUUUCCUUUAUUGUAUGUAUGCCUUCAAAUUUUAAUUCCUUUUUUAGUUUCUUUCCUUUUUUUAUGAUAAAAUCCCUUAUUUUCAAUUUCAAUAUAUGUUAUUUUUGGUCUUGUCGAUAUUUCCUAAGCUAAUUGUUAAUUUGUUAUUGUCAUCAAUCAAGCAUGCGUUGGAUGAAAUUGUGUAUGCGCUGUUUAAAGCUGCUAAAUGGGGUUUGGGAUUUGCUUGUAGCUGACGGAUAAUUUUUAGAAUUAGGAUCUGUUUUUGGGUGUAAAAUAGUAGACUAUGUGCAAUGCUUUCAUUUUGGGGAAAGGAAUAAUUUCCCUCUUUUGCCCACUUUAUAGACAAAAUCUAUCAGCUUUUUUUUUGGCUUUCUUGCAAUCAUACAUACUCUCGGCUGUACAAAACUUAAUUCCAGUUUUAUCAUAUCAUUCAUUUACCUUUGUUAAUCCUAUCAAGUAAAUACAUACUCAGGUAAAUGCUUGGUUUUCUUGUGCUUGCGUCUCUUUGGAGUCAUCAGGCUUAUGAAUUAAAAAGAGUCAGUUUGGCAUUGUUUGAACUAUUGAUGUGAAAAACACUAUCUCAAAUAUGUUAGUUAGAAGCUAUUAAAAAUUAAUUUUAUAUCAGAUUUUACGUGUUUUAGUUAUAAAAACUUCAAAAUAAAUAGCUUCUUCAAACUUUAUUUUUUCAACGACAUCUGAAAUGGUACUUUUUCCAAAAUGUAGGUUUCAAUCUUAAUGCCAAAUAGGCACUACGUAUCAAUAACUUACAUAGUUUUAUGGCACUCUCACAAUUAUUUUGGCUCCCUUCCAUGGUGCAGUAACUACUGUGGCUGCUGAAAAGUGAAUUGCACUAUUUUCUCUUUGUUGUUUCGCCAUUGUUUUUAUGGAUGCAAAUGAUAACAAGUGAUUUAUUAUAGAAUUGCCACGCCACAUGUGUGAUGCUUUGCGUGCUCACUUGUUUUAGUAUUAGCUCUUUUGGUUGCCGCUUUGUCUUCUUCUUCAAUGAUAUUGUUGCAAAACAGAGAUCAGGUGCAGUAUCAAACUAAAGUGUACAUGCAUGUAGAUAAUCCUUGUCUACUUUAUAAAAUAGAAGCAAAAAACCUAGAUGCCACUUUACCUACCAGUUAUUGGUUGUUACCCAACUCACUUUAGCUUGCUACCUCUUUAUAAUGCUAGUUGCUUUCUCUUGUUAUUUUAGGUCGGGAAACGACUUCGACCUCUCACAAAGCAUCCUAGGGAGAAGAUCCAAACUGUGGCCUCUGACUUACUAGAGAUUUGGAAAAAGAUAGUUAUUGAUGAGACCACCAGAAAGAAAAAUGGUGCCAUUGAUAAUAAAAGUUCUGGGAAAGCUGAGGUUUCGAAGGUAGAGACCGUUAAAGUUGAGAAGAUUCAUAAAGCAGGCACGGUUAGGGUUGAAAAAAUUGAUCGUGAAGAAACUAUCAAGGUUGAAAAGAUAUCCAAGGAGGAGAAACAUGUUUCUAAUGGGAAGAAACCAUCUCAAGCUCCUAUUGCUCCACCAAAGCUUACUACAUUGGUCAAAUGUAAUGAUGCUUUACGUGACAAAGUUCGUGAACUUCUUGUGGAGGCCUUGUCUAAAGUUGCUGGUGAGGUUGAUGAGGAUCUUAGGGAUGAAGUAAGUGCAUGUGACCCAAUCCGAAUUGCUGUAUCUGUAGAAUCUGCAAUGUUUGAAAAGAUGGGUCGGUCAAAUGGAGCCCAAAAGUUCAAGUACAGAUCCAUAAUGUUCAACAUGAAGGAUCCAAAUAACCCUGAUUUGAGGAGAAAAGUACUUCUUGGACAGGUCCAACCAGAGAGGCUCAUCACAAUGACCCCUGAAGAAAUGGCAAGCGAACAGAGACAAUUGGAAAAUAACCAUAUUAAAGAGAAAGCAUUAUUUGAUUGUCAGCGAGGUGGUCCACCAAAAGCCACAACUGAUCAGUUCAAGUGUGGUCGUUGUGGUCAGCGCAAGACCACUUACUAUCAGAUGCAGACUAGGAGUGCAGAUGAACCUAUGACAACGUAUGUAACUUGCGUAAACUGCAACAACCAUUGGAAAUUCUGCUAGUCUGGACUUAGGUAGGACUGCCCUUCUGUGGAACAAAUAUGGAGCUGAUUAUCUGCUAAGCUCCACUUUACUUGUAAUGAGUUUGUGAUAAAAUGUCUGGACGAAAAAAUCUUUCAUUAAUAUCCAUUUGCUGUAGGAAAUGCGUCUUCUAAUGUAGGAUUGUGCCAGAUCUUAACAAGGGAACCAUCUGCUCAGCACAUCGUCUUGUGUUAUUUUUCAACUUUGUUAGUGUCUAUUACGUUUUUUACUGUUAGUUUAUAAUGAUGGUUUGUACUAGUUAUGAUGAAUGUGGACUGCAAUGUUUUUCCCAAGCAUGCAAGAACUCAGCACAAGUCUUCCAGCUUCAUGGCAUGCAAUGUUUUUCCCAAGCAUCCUUGGAUUUGAAAUCGUAGCUGGAACACAUGAAAGUGGGACAGCGGAGGCUACAUGCUUCUUCGGCUCAUUGAAAUCAUAAUGUGCAUUGAGUAGAUGACGAUUUGCUUUGUAUUUAAAAUAGAUGGUUUGUAUCUUCGUUUCCAAAAGCUUUGCCAUUAUAUCUCAAAUUGAUGGAUUCUGAUGA